GACGAACGCUGGCGGCGGGCUUAACACAUGCAAGUCGAACGGAAAGGCCCUGCUUUUGUGGGGUGCUCGAGUGGCGAACGGGGGAGUAACACGUGAGUAACCUGCCCUUGACUUUGGGAGAACUUCAGGAAGCUGGGGCUAAUACCGGAUAGGAGCUCCCGCUGCAUGGUGGGGGGUGGAAAGUUUCGGCGGUUGGGGAUGGACUCGCGGCUUAUCAGCUUGUUGGUGGGGUAGUGGCUUACCAAGGCUUUGACGGGUAGCCGGCCUGAGAGGGUGACCGGCCACAUUGGGACUGAGAUACGGCCCAGACUCCUACGGGAGGCAGCAGUGGGGAAUAUUGCACAAUGGGCGGAAGCCUGAUGCAGCAACGCCGCGUGCGGGAUGACGGCCUUCGGGUUGUAAACCGCUUUCGCCUGUGACGAAGCGUGAGUGACGGUAAUGGGUAAAGAAGCACCGGCUAACUACGUG
rnacentral:rRNA from 1 species